rnacentral:rRNA from 1 species
UGGGGAAUAUUGGACAAUGGGCGCAAGCCUGAUCCAGCAAUACCGCGUGUGUGAAGAAGGCCUGCGGGUUGUAAAGCACUUUCAGCAAGGAAGAAAAGCCAUAGGUGAAUAGCCUGAGGUCUUGACGUUACUUGCAGAAGAAGCACCGGCUAACUCCGUGCCAGCAGCCGCGGUAAUACGGAGGGUGCAAGCGUUAAUCGGAAUUACUGGGCGUAAAGCGCGCGUAGGCGGUCAGAUAAGUCAGAUGUGAAAUCCCAGGGCUCAACCUUGGAACUGCAUUUGAUACUGUUUGACUAGAGUAUGUUAGAGGAAAGCGGAAUUCCGGGUGUAGCGGUGAAAUGCGUAGAUAUCCGGAGGAACAUCAGUGGCGAAGGCGGCUUUCUGGAACAAUACUGACGCUGAGGUGCGAAAGCGUGGGGAGCAAACA